rnacentral:rRNA from 1 species
GUGAACGCUGGCGGUAGGCCUAACACAUGCCCGUCGAACGGCAGCACAGUAAGAGCUUGCUCUUACGGGUGGCGAGUGGCGGACGGGUGAGGAAUACAUCGGAAUCUACUUUUUCGUGGGGGAUAACGUAGGGAAACUUACGCUAAUACCGCAUACGACCUACGGGUGAAAGCAGGGGAUCUUCGGACCUUGCGCGAUUGAAUGAGCCGAUGUCGGAUUAGCUAGUUGGCGGGGUAAAGGCCCACCAAGGCGACGAUCCGUAGCUGGUCUGAGAGGAUGAUCAGCCACACUGGAACUGAGACACGGUCCAGACUCCUACGGGAGGCAGCAGUGGGGAAUAUUGGACAAUGGGCGCAAGCCUGAUCCAGCUAUACCGCGUGGGUGAAGAAGGCCUUCGGGUUGUAAAGCCCUUUUGUUGGGAAAGAAAAGCAGCAGGUUAAUACCCCGCUGUUCUGACGGUACCCAAAGAAUAAGCACCGGCUAACUUCGUG